UACGUAGGUCCCGAGCGUUGUCCGGAUUUAUUGGGCGUAAAGCGAGCGCAGGUGGUUUAUUAAGUCUGGUGUAAAAGGCAGUGGCUCAACCAUUGUAUGCAUUGGAAACUGGUAGACUUGAGUGCAGGAGAGGAGAGUGGAAUUCCAUGUGUAGCGGUGAAAUGCGUAGAUAUAUAGAGGAACACCGGUGGCGAAAGCGGCUCUCUGGCCUGUAACUGACACUGAGGCUCGAAAGCGUGGGGAGCAAACAGG
rnacentral:rRNA from 1 species